rnacentral:lncRNA from 1 species
UUUUUUUUUUUUUUUUUUUUUUUUUUUAAAAAAAAACCCUUGCUAUGAACUAAGGCAAGAGCCCCCCAGCUUUUUUGGCACUAGGGACCAGUUUUGCGGAAGGCAAUUUUUCCAUGGAUGGUGGGGAGGGGAGUUGGUUUUGGGAUGAAACUCCCACCUCAGAUCAUCAAGCAUGAGUUAGACUCUCAUAGGGAGCACAUAACCUAGAUCCCUGGCAUGCACAGUUCACAAUAGGGUUCAUGCUUUUAUGAGAAUCUAAUGACACUGCUGAUCUGACAGAAGGCAGAGCUCAGGCAGCAAUGCUCGCUCGCCCACUCACCUCCUGCUGUGCAGCCCGGUUCCUAACAGGCCAUGAACCAAUACCCGUCCACGGCCCAGGGGUUGGGCACCCCUGGACUAAGGGACAUGACAGGUAGUAGAAGAAAGGGUUAAAUGGCUCUGAGAAGUGGGCAUGCUGAAAUGAAUAUUCUAGAAAAGUAGAAAAAUCCUCCAGAUGAUUCUGUACCACAGAAGGGCCCAGAGGAUACAUCAUUUACCAAGCCAAUAAGGAAUGUCCUGGUAAGAGGGGCAUCUGUGUCACUCACUAAGAAGGUCAACUGUGGCUCUCCUCCGGAGGAUAGAGCUGAUGGCAGGAGAGGUCCUUACAGAACUAGACUCCUUGUUAGGAUUGGAGACGAUAUGACUCUGAAACAGAGUCUAGAUGGCGACACUUCAUCAUUAGAAACCAUACGGACACAAUGAUCAUAAAGUAUGACAAGGUCAAAGGGGCAGUCAGGGGAAUCUUACUUGCAGAGAUUUAUGGAGAUAGUUAUAGAACGUGGUGUCUGUGAUGGCUAAUUUUUUCUUUUUUUUUUUUGAGACGGAGUCUCGCUCUGUGGCCCAGGCUGGAGUGCAGUGGCGGAUCUCAGCUCACUGCAAGCCCCCACUCCCGGUUCAUGCCUGUUCUCCUGCCUCAGCCUCCCGAGUAGCUGGGACUACAGGCAUCCGCCACCUCACCCGGCUAGUUUUUUGUAUUUUUUAGUAGAGACAGGGUUUCACCGUGUUAGCCAGGAUGGUCUCGAUCUCCUGACCUCGUGAUCCGCCCAUCUCGGCCUCCCAAAGUGCUGGGAUUACAGGCUUGAGCCACCGCGCCCGGCCUGUGAUGGCUAAUUUUAUGUGUCAACUUGGCUGGGCCAAGGAGUACACACAAAUACUAUUCCCAAUGUUUCUGUGAGGGUGUUUUUAGAUGAGAUUAACAUUUAAAUCAAUGGAAUUUGAGUAAAGCAGGUUACUCAUGACAGUGUGGAUGGUCCUCAUUCAACCAAUUCAAAACCUGAAUAGGAGAGAGAAACCAGCCUCUCCUGAGUUAGAGGGAAUUCUCCAGCAGACAGCCUUUGGACUUAAUUUGCAACAUCAGCUCUUCCUGGCUCUACAGCCAUAGGCUUUGGGCUUGAACUGCAGCAUAAGCUCGUCCGGGUCUCCAGCUUGCCAGCCCACCCUGCAGAUUUUGGACUUGAUAGUCUGUGUAAUUGUGUAAGCCAAUUCCUUAUAAUAAAUCUGUUUCUUUGUAUGUAAACAUCCUAUUAGUUCCGCUUUUCUAGAGAACCCUAACUAAUACAUGUCCCUGUUAUAAAAAUAGAUGGGCCACCAAGGCCGGGUGUGGUGGCUCAUAACCGUAAACCCAGCACUUUGGGAGGCCGAGGUGGGUGGA